GGAUUGUAGUUUAACAUUAUUUCCAAUUCGUAAGACGUGCGUGCGUGGUCCAGCAAAGAGGUCGAAAAUUGCUGCGUCUGUUGCCGCAUCUCCUGGCGAUUGACAAAGAAUCGUCUUUAGACGAGGACAAAUACGCGAGAGUGCAGUUACCAAUCGUUUGAAGGGGCCCGAAUGACUCGAGGUGGAGGAGGAGGAGGAAGAGGAGGAUCAUUGAGUUAAGUACGUUAUAUUGGGCGCGAAAUUCUUGUUCCAUCCUGCUGAGGCGACGCAGUUCCCACGAAAGCUCGAAGGCCGUCAGAAGUGGGUCUCUCGAUGAAAGCGCGAUUAGAGAUGACGAGGAAGAAAUUAUGUGAUCUCUGGCCAGAAUGGCGUCAGUGCAUCAGCAUCUCACGCAAUAGGAAGAAACACGCAGUUCGGUCGCAGACAGCCCGUCCAGAAUUCAUACUAAACCCAGUUUAUUUUACGUCUCGUCCGGGACGUAAAAUCUUUGCCGGUGGUAUUAGCGCGCCGAGCGAUGCUCAGGAUUACCUUUUGACAGUCGCACAAUCGCCUCGUUCCGCGCUGAGCAGGAAAUGCUUCUCGACCGGG